rnacentral:rRNA from 1 species
UACGUAGGGGGCAAGCGUUGUCCGGAAUCAUUGGGCGUAAAGAGCGCGUAGGCGGCCCUGUAAGUCCGCUGUGAAAGUCAAGGGCUCAACCCUUGGAUGCCGGUGGAUACUGCAGGGCUAGAGUCCGGAAGGGGCGAGUGGAAUUCCUGGUGUAGCGGUGAAAUGCGCAGAUAUCAGGAGGAACACCAAUGGCGAAGGCAGCUCGCUGGGACGUGACUGACGCUGAGACGCGAAAGCGUGGGGAGCAAACAGG